AUCUUUUUGUCUCUGUGAUCAUGUCUAGCUCUGGGCUGCUUCAAGGCAGGGGCAAGGCUUUGACAUCAGCCCAAGAAGAACCACCAAGCCCAUAUUUUGUCUGAAGCUGGAUUUGAACUAAUGGCAAGGGAACAGCUACUAGAAACAUUACCCACUGUGAGGCUGCAGGCUCUUCCCUGCCCCCCCAUAAGCAGAAGUGCUCCUGGGUCUGAUCAGCUACUGUGGACUCUUUGUGCGAUGGGAAGUGGGCCUGCAGGAAAGCCUUGCCUACAGUGGUAGGUUAUGGUGAGUGUUUACAGGAGAAGUGAGCAUUGGGUCCAUUGGUUUCUGCAAAUUGCCUUGCUUCUCCAGAGAGAAAAGUCCUUGAAACCUAAGUCUUCCAAAUAGAAGUCACUGUUGGACCCAUGUUUGGAGGUAUUCCAGCCCUCAUGAAGGAUUGAAAGACACAGAUGGGAGCAGAGAGGCAGUCUGACGAAAUGGUGUCUGAUGCGGAAGUGUGGAUGAAGCAAAAGUGUGUAGCUGAAUUUCUCCAUGUGGAAAAAUUGCACCCAAUGACAUUCAUCAAUGUUGCUGAAUAUUUAUGGAGACCAAAGAGUGGAUGUGAGCACAGCAAGGAGGUAAAAACACCAGGAAGAGAGAAGGAGGAAAUGAAAAGGAGCAAGAAACAGUGAAGGGAAUACCAAGGUCAGAGGAGGAGCUCCGUGCUGGAGAAGAUGUUCCUGAAGAAACUGCAGUCCAUGAAGAGAGCCCGCACCGGAGCAAGGCAAAAAGUGUAAGGCAAAGAUCAGGAGAGAGACAUUUCUAAACCUCUGUGCUCGAAUCGAAACUGGAUUCUGGAGUGGAGGAGCGAAGUUGGGUAUGGCAGAAGGAGGAAAAAAGGAGUUGUUUCAAUUAUCCUUGUGUCUCACUACCAACAUGGAGCCUCUCAACUCAAGGAAAUCCAGGAAAAGGCAUCCCAGGGAAAAUAUCAGUUAGAGCAUUCACUGAUUACUUGAACAAAGAGAAGGCAUCUGCAUGCUCCCCAAAACUGUUAUCUUUUUGUAGCUUCUCCGUUAGAAAUGACUCAUGGUGGAAGGAAAAUUGAAGAUUUUCUGACAAUGACACCUUUUAGAGGCUGUUUACAGUUAAUUGAACAUGGCUCUAACAACAUCUUACUUAUAGUUGUGUUCUUUCCUCAAAGGAUGUAAACUUGCUUCCAAGUUCCGAUUUCAUUUCAGCUAUAGCACGUAUAGCAUGCUUUCCUAGCUCUAAAUACCAUGGGAAAUUUCGGUCAACUCUUACAGUAGAAGAGGAAUCACAAAGCCUCUUUCCCUAAUUAGCUACUUACUUAUUUGUAGACUAAAGUCUUCUAAAUGUGAACCCAUCUCUUUCUCGGAUUCUUGUUUGGUUUUUUUUUUUUUUUUCCUGCCAUGGCUUGCAGUACACAGAGAUGUCAUUUAACUUUUCCAUCCUCUUUGACAAUAAAGAGGCUGCAGUGAGGCGGGUAGUGAAUCAAGACAGAUUCUUGCCCAUAAACACUCAUUUUGGAGAGUGAGGAGAGGUCAAGAGAGAAUGUCUCUCUCAUCCAGCAGAUUGUUCCUGCUGGAGUGCCACUUCUAACGUAAAGAAUUCCCCAAGUCUUUACAAGGUACUAUGAAUUAACCUCUAACUCAUUUGUACUCUAGAAUGUUUCCAUCCAUUUAAGCUAUCAAGGGAUUUGCUAUGAUUCUAAUGUGUCAUUACAAAAGUCCUUUAAAAUAUUUCAAUCCUGAUUUAAACUUUAACUCUUCAAAGAACUUUAACUGCACCGUGUAAAUUUAUGAUGACCAUAUGAAAGGUGUCAGGCUCAUGAUAAAAUUCGGAGACAAUCCAGAAAAAAAAAAUUAAUUGGAGUACAAAUUACUCUUCAGUGUUACUAUCUGUUCCCAGACAAAAUAUCUCCAACGUGUCUCCAGGGCAAAUCUGACAGAAGCGCGGCACCCUUCCUCAUGUGUCUGUGCACAUUCUGAAGAUGGUGGUAACCUCCACAAAAUCCUGUAAAGAAUUCACUUAAAGCCUUUCUGCUCUUCAGCAUGAUCUUGUGAAGUUUUGCAAGAUGUGCAGAGUUGUAGUAAGCAUUUGAACAUCAAAUCAUCCUUAGAAAAGCAAGGUUAUUUCCACAGGUCAUGUGGAAACACUGUAUUUUGGGCUUUGUAACUGAAGAAAAAGUUAAUUCUGACUUGAUCCUUAAACUGUUCCCGAUAAACUGAUGAUGUUGGAAAAAUCAUUUAAUAGAAUGUGAGCACAUUUCCCCAAACCUGUUAUUUCUCUCUCAAAUAAAAAUAAUUAUUUUCAUUCUCAUGG
ensembl:lncRNA